CACCCGCACGUAUAGAUGGACAAGAAUAGGCUUCGGCUUAGCGUCUUAGCAGGCGAUUCUUCCACGGCGCUCGAAGCGCGUCGUGGUAUUUCGCGUAUUGUAAUUUCAACACGAGCGGGGUCAAAUCCUUUGCAGACGACUUAGCUGUGCGAAACGGUCCUGUAAGCAGUAGAGUAGCCUUGUUGUUACGAUCUGCUGAGGGUAAGCCGUCCUUCGCCUCGAUUUCCCCAAUGGGUUCUCCGGAUUUCUGGAGACUUGUAGGGGUUGUGGGAUUUUUGAUGUGUCGUCUCCGGACGGGCGGUGCAGGGUAGUCGAGUUAGACUUGGUGGAAUUCCGUCGAUAGGAGUUCCGUCGAGUCUGGUCAGCUGUGUGUUGGACGGUGUAGGGUAGGCUGCUUGGACAUGGUCGGUUCGAGGAUCGAUUCGAGGGCCGGCCUGUCGAUGAUGUGUGAUGUAUGCGGUCUAGGGUAGGUUGGUUUGUCUUGGUUCGAUUUGAUGUCGGCUCCCGUGCAGGCCAGAGUGAGGGGGGUCCAGGGUAGGUGCAGGGUAGGCAGCUUAGAUUUGGUCGAUCUGGAGGUCGAUUCUCCGGCUGGCGGAUCUGACACUGUCGAAACGAGAUGCGAGGGGUGUAGGGUAGGCUAGUUUCGUACUUGCCAGGUUGCGAUUUGGACGAGAUAUGUGGUUUAGGGUAGGCUCUAGGGUAAGUAGAAUUCGAGUUUCGUCGCCGAUAGUUUUCUGUGGGUGUAUGGUAGGUACAGGGUAGGCAAAUCUCUCUCCGGCCAGUACUUGUCUCGUGGUCGUGAGUCGAUUUUUUUGUUUUGCCAUACUAUUGAAUUUUGCGGAAAUUCAAAAGUGGCUCGGGAGUCCCGCCUGGCGUGCGUCCGACUCGAACAUCGUCGGUGUACAUAUGAGAGGGAGUAAUCCGGCCCGGCCGGGGCCCAUCGCGAGCUGCCGGGUAG
rnacentral:rRNA from 1 species